ensembl:snRNA U6 U6 spliceosomal RNA
GCGCUCGCUUUGGGGAGCACAUGCACUAAAAUUGGAAUGAUCCAGAGAAGAUCAGUAUGGCCUCUGUGCAAGGAUGACACGCAAAUUCAUGCAGUGUUCUGUAUUUUU